GACAUGGCUCAGGAUGAACGCUGGCGGCGUGCCUAAUACAUGCAAGUAGAACGCUGAAGCUUGGUGCUUGCACCGAGCGGAAGAGUUGCGAACGGGUGAGUAACGCGUAGGUAACCUGCCUCUUAGCGGGGGAUAACUAUUGGAACCGAUAGCUAAUACCGCAUAAAAGUCGGCAUUGCAUGAUGUUGACUUGAAAGGUGCAACUGCAUCACUAAGAGAUGG
rnacentral:rRNA from 1 species